GUGGGCGAAGUACAUGGAAGUGGUAAGAUGUGGUGGAUGCUAUUUAUGGACACAGACCGUCAAACCGAGGCAGCGAAGGAGGCCUGGACUCGGCGACCAGUAUCCUGGAGUCACUCGUAAACCCUGUUGACACAUCUGACGUGGAAAACACUCCCUCUUCAGAGGAACCAUCCACUUCCUCAAGUAGCACUCCAGGACCUUCUAUGCCACCAUCACCUCUGUCCACUACCACUCGAGAGGAAUAUCUACCAUGUCGUCGACGCACAGAUUACCGAAGACGGCGAUUGGAAGCACGCACUCAGAUGAUAUUUGAUGAGUUGCAGAUCGCAGAUGGACAGAAUGGAAUGCCUUAGCC